rnacentral:rRNA from 1 species
GGGGGGAGGCAGCAGUGGGGAAUAUUGCACAAUGGGCGAAAGCCUGAUGCAGCCAUGCCGCGUGUAUGAAGAAGGCCUUCGGGUUGUAAAGUACUUUCAGUUGUGAGGAAGGGGGUGUCGUUAAUAGCGGCAUCUCUUGACGUUAGCAACAGAAGAAGCACCGGCUAACUCCGUGCCAGCAGCCGCGGUAAUACGGAGGGUGCGAGCGUUAAUCGGAAUUACUGGGCGUAAAGCGCAUGCAGGUGGUUCAUUAAGUCAGAUGUGAAAGCCCGGGGCUCAACCUCGGAACUGCAUUUGAAACUGGUGAACUAGAGUACUGUAGAGGGGGGUAGAAUUUCAGGUGUAGCGGUGAAAUGCGUAGAGAUCUGAAGGAAUACCAGUGGCGAAGGCGGCCCCCUGGACAGAUACUGACACUCAGAUGCGAAAGCGUGGGGAGCAAACAGGAUUAGAUACCCUGGUAGUCCACGCCGUAAACGAUGUCUACUUGGAGGUUGUGGCCUUGAGCCGUGGCUUUCGGAGCUAACGCGUUAAGUAGACCGCCUGGGGAGUACGGUCGCAAGAUUAAAACUCAAAUGAAUUGACGGGGGCCCGCACAAGCGGUGGAGCAUGUGGUUUAAUUCGAUGCAACGCGAAGAACCUUACCUACUCUUGACAUCCAGAGAAGCCAGCGGAG